rnacentral:rRNA from 1 species
UUGAAUUUCGGGGUUAGUAGGUUGGUCAUGCCUCUGGUAUGUACUGGUCUCACUGAUUCCUCCUUCCUGAUGAGCCGUAAUGCCAUUAAUUUGGUGUUGCGGGGUAGUUUGGACUGUUACUUUGUAAAAAUUAAGGUGUUUAAAGCAAGCUAACGCUCGAAUACAUUAGCAUGGAAUAAUGAAAUAGGACGUUACGAUCCCAUUUUGUUGUUUUCUAGGAUUGACGUAAUGAUUAAUAGGGAUAGUUGGGGGCAUUAGUAUUCAAUUGUCAGAGGUGAAAUUCUUGGAUUUAUUGAAGACUAACUACUGCGAAAGCAUUUGCCAAGGAUGUUUUCAUUAAUCAAGAACGAAAGUUAGGGGAGCGAAGACGAUCAGAUACCGUCGUAGUCUUAACCAUAAACUAUGCCGACUAGGGAUCGGAUGAUGUUAAUUUUUUAAUGACUC